UUUCAUAUGGAUCGUGACCAUUUCUUUUGGAUCGUCGGACGACGGCUCGGGCGAUUCCUGAGGCUGAAGACAACAACGGCAAGAGGCACUCUGGCGACGCGAUUAGGGUUUCGCUGUGAACCCUAACAACAGUGGCAGCGACGCAUUUUAUUCUUGAAGAUUUGAUUUUUUCCAAUGUGCAGUCCAAGUUAAGUUUGUGAAAAUUUAGUCAUAAAAUUAAGCAUCAAUUUUGUU
rnacentral:lncRNA from 1 species